AUACUUACCUGGCAAGGGAGAUACCAUGAUCAACAAGGUGGUUCACCCAUAGCGAGGCUCAGCCAUUGCACUUCGGCUGUGCUGACCCGUGCGAAUUCCCCAAAUGUGGGAAUCUCGAUUGCAUAAUUUGUGGUAGUGGGGGACUGCGUUCGCGCUCUCCCCUG
ensembl:snRNA U1 U1 spliceosomal RNA